AGUUUGAUCCUGGCUCAGAACGAACGCUGGCGGCGUGGAUAAGACAUGCAAGUCGAACGAUCACUAUUGGGUAGCAAUAUUCGGUAGUGGGAGUGGCGCAAGGGUGCGUAACACGUGGGUAAUUUGCCGUAAAGUCUGGAAUAACUUGCUGAAAGGCGAGCUAAUACCGGAUGUGAUUGCUGGAGGGCAUCCUCUGGCACUUAAAGUCGGGGACCGUAAGGCCUGACACUUUUCGAUAAGCCCGCGGCCUAUCAGCUAGUUGGUGAGGUAACGGCUCACCAAGGCUAAGACGGGUAGCUGGUCUGAGAGGACGACCAGCCUCACUGGAACUGAGACACGGUCCAGACACCUACGGGUGGCAGCAGUCGAGAAUUUUUCUCAAUGGGGGAAACCCUGAAGGAGCGACGCCGCGUGGGGGAUGAAUGGCUUCGGCCCGUAAACCCCUGUCAUUUGCGAUCAAACCUUACGACCUAACACGUCGUGAGCUGAUAGUAGCGGAAGGGGAAGGGACGGCUAACUCUGUGCCAGCAGCCGCGGUAAUAC
rnacentral:rRNA from 1 species